rnacentral:misc_RNA from 1 species
GUGAUGGGAGAUAAAACACCAGUGGGCUCUCAAAUAGGCCCUGAGUACCUCUUAUUGGUACGAAACUCCAAAUUAGCAUCUUUUGGAACUUCGCCUAGGGAUCAUAUCAAAAUUAGAAGAUACUCAAAAAAUUUAAAUAUAUCUUUAGAUCCCAUAUUCAUGGAUUCUUUUCCAAAAUUAAAAUGCUGGUACCGGCAACAUCUGGAAUGUAUUGCUUCCACAUUUUCUGGUCUUGUACAUGGUACCCCUGUUCACCAGCUUGUUGAUGCACUCCUCAAUAUGAUGUUCAGAAAGAUAAAUAGAAGUGUUCAAUCUCUGUCUUCUACAACUUCUGGAAGUAGUAAUUCAUCUGGCCCUGGAGCUGAGGAAGCUUAUGUUGGACUUCAAGUACCUGCAUGGGAUAUCCUAGAAGCAACUCCAUUUGCACUUGACGCAGCUCUGACAGCCUGUGCCCAUGGAAGAUUAUCCCCCCGUGAACUGGCUACAGGACUCAAAGAUCUUGCUGAUUUCCUACCUGCAUCUUUGGCCACCAUUGUCAGCUACCUUUCAGCUGAAGUUACACGGGGCAUAU